UACGUAGGGGGCAAGCGUUGUCCGGAUUUAUUGGGCGUAAAGAGCGUGUAGGCGGCCAGACAGGUCAGCUGUGAAAACUCGAGGCUCAACCUCGAGACGUCGGUUGAAACCGUCUGGCUAGAGUCCGGAAGAGGAGAGUGGAAUUCCCGGUGUAGUGGUGAAAUGCGUAGAUAUCGGGAGGAACACCAGUGGCGAAAGCGGCUACCUGGCCCAUACUUGACGCUGAGGCGCGAAAGCUAGGGGAGCAAACGGG
rnacentral:rRNA from 1 species